rnacentral:tRNA from 1 species
GCCUGGGUGGCUCAGUUGGUUAAGCAUCUGACUUCAGCUCAGGUCGUGAUCUCAGGGUUUGUGGGUUCAAGCCCCACGUUGGGCU